CUGCCGUCAGAAGCAGGAGGCACUGCGGC
rnacentral:sRNA from 1 species